GGAGUCUCGGGGUCGCGUGCACCUGGGCGGCCAGGGAGGCUCCAGUGCCCGGGAGAAAGGCAAGAAAACUGAGGCACAGAGAGAUUGUCACACAGCCAGUAAGGUGUUGAUGCCCUCUAAGGCUCAUGCGUGUCAGUGUUUGUGAACAGUAGUAGACCCUUGCCUGCUUUGAUCGUCUCAUGUGUGGGAUCAAGUAAUUCUGGGGGCCUGAGCUGGGACAAAGGAAUGGAAGGAAGGAGAAAGGGAAAGGAGAAAAUCAAAGGUGGUGGAGGAAGAAAGACUGCUGCUAAUUACCGUCUCAGACACCUUCCUUGAAACCACCUUCGGAAACUACUCUGCCAGUCUAAGUGCUACCCUCAGCAUUGCUUAUUUAGUGGUCAUUUCGGUUUUUGUUUUUUUUUUUUUGAGACAGAGUCUCGCUCUGUCGCCCAGGCUGGAGUGCAGUGGCAUGAUCUUGGCUCAUUGCAAGCUCCGUCUCCCAGGUUCACGCCAUUCUCCUGCCUCAGCCUCUCAAGUAGCUGGGACUACAGGCGCCCGCCACCACGCCCAGCUAAUUUUUUGUAUUUUUAGUAGAGGCGGGGUUUCACCGUGUUAGCCAGGAUGGUCUCGAUCUCCUGACCUCAUGAUCCGCCCGCCUCGGCCUCCCAAAGUGCUGGGAUUACAGGCGUGAGCCACCGUUCCCAGCCGUCAUUUCGUUUUUUAAAAACAUCUUAUUACACAGAAUUAGAUACGCCACUGGCUGAAUCAUGCCUUAUGAAACAUAAUUACAUACAGCCCAAACCUAAUGUGAUUUGCAUUUUCUGAUCUUUUCCUUAGACACAGUCAUUGAAAUUAAUGAGGAGGAACCUAGUAGUCUUAGUGAAGUAAACCUUAUGCAUUAUUAAGAAUCUCUCAUCCCUGUUUAUUGAGGAGCCAUUGGCAGACUGAUAUUGUAGAAAAUAAAGAGAGGCUUCAGCCCGUUGGAGAGGGAGUAUAGGAAAUCAGCUCUCUCUUUUAAUGCUGCUUUGUGGAAGUGUUUGGGAGAAAAAAAAAUAACAGAUACUUGACUGUUAUAACUUACUAACUAUAGUAAAGAUAGUUACUUCUAGGGAGAAGAACUUAGGUGGUUUCCACUGGAUUAAAAAACAACCUUAUUUCUCUGCUUUCCUCCAAAUCCCCACAUAACAACAAAAACCUAACUUGUGAAAGAUCUUAAGCUCUUACUGUUUUUAAGUAGAACUUGGAUUUUCAGAUAUUUUUUAAGUUCGUAAAGCUGUUUCUUCUGACAAUAAUAGAGAUAAAUAGAGCAUUCAUACUCAAAUCCUUGUUGGUUUGGAAUUUCAAGCAAGGAUGUGAAGACAGAAGCACUCUACGAGCACUGGAAGUAUCUGGGAUACUUGUGCCUGCUUAUCGUUUUUGUUUUUUUAGGUUUCUUUCAAAAUGAAGAUUCACGCAGUGAUUGUAACUGUCUUGAUGAGCCAGGUUGUAGUUUACAAAGUUUUAUUCCAGAAGGAAAAAAGCCACUUCACCUAGAAAUUUUGCAAACAAAUCAACUUUUACUCUGUGAGUAAUCCAGGGCCUAUCAAGACUACAUUUUAGUUGACUGCAAGGCCUCUGAGGCACGGGAAUUCACAGCUGAGUUCUUGGAGAAGGUCCUUGAGCCAUCUGGAUGGCGGACAGUCUGGCACAUGAUGUGCUCAAGGUGCUGCUUGAGGCCACAGAUGUGGACAUUUCAGCCUUGAAGGCAGUGGUGCAGCUUGCUGAGCCAUACCUCUGUGAAUCUUGAGCGAGUACUUUCACCUUGGAGUGUGUGAAAGAGCUCCUCGAGCUGAAGGAACAUCAGUUGCCCCUGAAGGAGCUGGGUGGUGUUUGAUGAUUCUGGAGACAGCACUUGUAACUUGUAACUGAGCAUGUCAGCUAGGAAGGAGGUAUCUGGUCAGAGAAGGUGUUUUCUGAGGCUGCUUCCUGGAUCCCUAGGGUUUGUGUUCCUGCCAUUCAGCCUAUUUGGCAGUUAUUUCCACCUGUACAAACAGACCCUUUGUCCCUUACAUGAGAAAGAAAGCCCACACCUGGAUUCAUAUUAAUAGGUUUUUCUACCAGAACAUUUGGAAGAGUUGGGAUGAAGAAAAGGAUGAUGCAUAUGAUUGUUUUGUCAGACGUGUUAAACCUCAAUUGAGAUUGUGUUUAUUACUGACCUUGUACAUAUUGAAAAAAUAGUUACCAUGGCUUAAUUU
rnacentral:lncRNA from 1 species